GACGAACGCUGGCGGCGUGCUUAACACAUGCAAGUCGAACGGAAAGGCCCUUCGGGGUGCUCGAGUGGCGAACGGGUGAGUAACACGUGGGUGAUCUGCCCUGCACUUUGGGAUAAGCCUGGGAAACUGGGUCUAAUACCGAAUAGGAUCACGGGCUUCAUGGUCUGUGGUGGAAAGCUUUUGCGGUGUGGGAUGGGCCCGCGGCCUAUCAGCUUGUUGGUGGGGUAAUGGCCUACCAAGGCGACGACGGGUAGCCGGCCUGAGAGGGUGACCGGCCACACUGGGACUGAGACACGGCCCAGACUCCUACGGGAGGCAGCAGUGGGGAAUAUUGCACAAUGGGCGCAAGCCUGAUGCAGCAACGCCGCGUGAGGGACGACGGCCUUCGGGUUGUAAACCUCUUUUAGUAGGGAAGAAGCGAAAGUGACGGUACCUGCAGAAAAAGCACCGGCUAACUACGUGCCAGCAGCCGCGGUAAAAC
rnacentral:rRNA from 1 species